rnacentral:rRNA from 1 species
CUCCUUUGGCGUCGAGCGGCGGACGGGUGAGUAAUGCUUGGGAAUGUGCCUUAUGGUGGGGGACAACAGUUGGAAACGACUGCUAAUACCGCAUAAUGUCUUCGGACCAAAGUGGGGGACCUUCGGGCCUCACGCCAUAAGAUCAGCCCAAGUGGGAUUAGCUAGUUGGUAAGGUAAUGGCUUACCAAGGCGACGAUCCCUAGCUGGUUUGAGAGGAUGAUCAGCCACACUGGGACUGAGACACGGCCCAGACUCCUACGGGAGGCAGCAGUGGGGAAUAUUGCACAAUGGGCGCAAGCCUGAUGCAGCCAUGCCGCGUGUGUGAAGAAGGCCUUCGGGUUGUAAAGCACUUUCAGUAAGGAGGAAAGGUUAAGUGUUAAUAGCACUUAGCUGUGACGUUACUUACAGAAGAAGCACCGGCUAACUCCGUGCCAGCAGCCGCGGUAAUACGGAGGGUGCGAGCGUUAAUCGGAAUUACUGGGCGUAAAGCGUACGCAGGCGGUUUGUUAAGCGAGAUGUGAAAGCCCCGGGCUCAACCUGGGAACUGCAUUUCGAACUGGCAAACUAGAGUGUGAUAGAGGGUGGUAGAAUUUCAGGUG